UCCUUUGGGGUGAGGUAGUAGGUUGUAUAGUUUUAGGGUUAGACCCUGACUGUCAGAUAACUAUACAAUCUACUGUCUUUCCUGAAG
ensembl:miRNA microRNA let-7a-3